rnacentral:rRNA from 1 species
AUUGAACGCUGGCGGCAGGCCUAACACAUGCAAGUCGAACGAGUGGCGGACGGGUGAGUAAUGUCUGGGAAACUGCCUGAUGGAGGGGGUAAACUACUGAAACGGGUAGCAAUACCCGAUUACAAUCAGAUGGGCCCAGAGGGGAUUGGCUAGUUGGUGGGGUAACGGCUCACCAAGGCGACGAUCCCUAGCUGGUCUGAGAGGAUGACCAGCCACACUGGAACUGAGACACGGUCCAGACUCCUACGGGAGGCAGCAGUGGGGAAUAUUGCACAAUUGGCGCAAGCCUGAUGCAGCCAUGCCGCGUGUAUGAAGAAGGCCUUCGGGUUGUAAAGUACUUUCAGCGGGGAGGCGUUACCCGCAGAAGAAGCACCGGCUAACUCCGUGCCAGCAGCCGCGGUAAUAC